ACAUGCCUACAACAUAGUAUUAAUGUAUCGGAUCCCAUUAGAACUUCGAAGUUAAGUGCUCUCAAGCUAGAGUAAUACUGGGAUGGGUGACCGCCUAGGAAGUCCUAGUAUUUUACAUGCC
rnacentral:rRNA from 1 species